rnacentral:ncRNA from 1 species
CUCGCUGAAUUUAAGCAUAUUAAUAAGUGGAGGAAAAGAAACUUACUAGGAUUCCUCUAGUAACGGGGAGAGAACCAAAAAAAGCUCAGCUUGAGAAUUGGGUGCCAUCAGCGUCCAAAUUGUAGUCUGGAGAAGCGUCCUCAGCGGUGGAUUGGGCUUAAGUCCCUUGGAAAGGGGUGCUAGAGAGGGUUAAAGCCCCGUUGUGCCGUAAUUUUAUUGCACCACGAGGCACUGUCUACGAGUUGGGUUGUUUGGGAAUGCAGCCCUAAUGGGUUAGUAAAUUUUGUUAAAGGUUAAAUACGAGUGAGACCGAUAACAAACAAGUUUCGUGAGGGAAAAAUGAAAAGUACUUUGAAAAGAGAGUCGAAGAGUGCUUGAAAUUAUCGAGCCCCAGUCGGAUGUGGAACAGUUAGAGUUGGUCCAUUGAUCGACUUGGGGCAUAAACAGACGCGGGUUAUGGCGACGACCAAAGCUUGGGGUUUUGAUACACCCGUAGAGAUGUCGCCUCGAUCGUGGGAUUUAGCACGCACUGUCUCGGCACGCUUCAACGCUUGCGUGCUCUGGGCGUCAGCCUGCUAGCUCCCUAUUUGGCUUGUCUUAAAACACAGACCAAUGAGUCUUACAUGUUUUCGAGUCAACGGGCUAGAAAUCCCAUAAGGCGCAUAGAAGUUGAUUGGCAGGAUACGUUAUUGGUGCACUGCUGAUAGACCUUGAUCUUUUGAGAAGGGUUUGAGUAAGAGCAUGCCUGUCGGGACUCGAAAGAUGGUGAAUUAUGCUUGAGUGAAGCAAAGCUAGAGAAAACUUUGGUGGAUGCCCGCAACGAUACUGAUGUGCAAAUCAUACGUUUGACUUAGGUAUAAGGACGACUAAUUGAACCGUUUAGUAGCUGGUUUCCUCCGAAGUUUCCUUCAGGAUAGCUGGAGCCCUUAGUGAGUUCUAUCAGGUAAAUCCAAUUAUUAGUCAUCUGGGGCAUAACGCCUUCGACCUAUUCUCAAACUUUAAAUAGAUAUAACGGUGUAACUGCUUCGUUGAGUCGAGCUAUAAAAUUGAGAGCUCCAAGUGGGCUAUUUUUGGCAAACAGAACUAGCGAUGCGAGAUGAACCGGAAGUUAGAUUACGGUGCCCAACUGUGUGCUAACCUAGAACCCAUAAAAGGUGUUGGUCGAUUAAGACAGCAAGACGGUGGUCAUGGAAGUCGAAACCUAUUAAGGAGUGUGUAACAACUCUCCUGUCGAAUCAACUAGCCUCGAAAAUAGAUAGUGUUUAAGAGUGACCUAUACUCGAUUGUUGGGGCAAGGGUUAGGCCCUAAUAAGUAAGAGGGGGCGACAAUCGCCAUAAAACCCGGGGUGCCAGCUCGGGUAGAGCGACCGUCAGUGCAGAUCUUGAUGGUAGUAGCAAAUAUUCAAAUAAGAACUUGAAGGUCAAAGAAGGGAAAGGUUCCAUGUGAGCGGCACUUGUACAUGGGUUAAUCGAUCCUAAAAGAUUGGGAAACCCAUUCGAUAGUGCGUCCAGCGCGAGUUUCGAAAGGAAAUCAGGUUAAAAUUCUUAAACCAGGAUAUGGUGGUUGACGGUAAUAUUAGGGAGUACAGAAACAUCGGCGAGGGUUUCGGGAAAAGUUAUCUUUUUUGUUUAAUGACCUACUCACCUUAGAAAGGGCUCAGUUGAAGGCAGGGUCCAACGGUCGAAAAAGGCUACACGUCUCGUGGUGUCUGGUGCGCUCCCGGCAGCUCUUGAAAAUUCAGAGGACCGACUGUUAUCCACUCCCGGUUGUACUCAAAAUCGCAUCAGGUCUCCAAGGUGAAUAACUUUUGGUC